ACGCUCGACACCUACGGGAGGCGGCAGUGGGGGAAGUAUUGCACAAUGGGGGAAACCCUGAUGCAGCGACGCCGCGUGAAGGAUGAAGUAUUUCGGUAUGUAAACUUCUAUCAGCAGGGAAGAAAGUGACGGUACCUGACUAAGAAGCCCCGGCUAACUACGUGCCAGCAGCCACGGUAAUCUGAGCGGGCUGGCAAGGC
rnacentral:rRNA from 1 species